rnacentral:rRNA from 1 species
UUAAAUUGAAGAGUUUGAUCAUGGCUCAGAUUGAACGCUGGCGGCAGGCCUAACACAUGCAAGUCGAGCGGUAGCACAGGAGAGCUUGCUCUCUGGGUGACGAGCGGCGGACGGGUGAGUAAUGUCUGGGAAACUGCCUGAUGGAGGGGGAUAACUACUGGAAACGGUAGCUAAUACCGCAUAACGUCUACGGACCAAAGUGGGGGACCUUCGGGCCUCACGCCAUCAGAUGUGCCCAGAUGGGAUUAGCUAGUAGGUGGGGUAAUGGCUCACCUAGGCGACGAUCCCUAGCUGGUCUGAGAGGAUGACCAGCCACACUGGAACUGAGACACGGUCCAGACUCCUACGGGAGGCAGCAGUGGGGAAUAUUGCACAAUGGGCGCAAGCCUGAUGCAGCCAUGCCGCGUGUGUGAAGAAGGCCUUAGGGUUGUAAAGCACUUUCAGCGAGGAGGAAGGGUAAUGUGUUAAUAGCACAUUGCAUUGACGUUACUCGCAGAAGAAGCACCGGCUAACUCCGUGCCAGCAGCCGCGGUAAUACGGAGGGUGCAAGCGUUAAUCGGAAUUACUGGGCGUAAAGCGCACGCAGGCGGUUUGUUAAGUCAGAUGUGAAAUCCCCGCGCUUAACGUGGGAACUGCAUUUGAAACUGGCAAGCUAGAGUCUUGUAGAGGGGGGUAGAAUUCCAGGUGUAGCGGUGAAAUGCGUAGAGAUCUGGAGGAAUACCGGUGGCGAAGGCGGCCCCCUGGACAAAGACUGACGCUCAGGUGCGAAAGCGUGGGGAGCAAACAGGAUUAGAUACCCUGGUAGUCCACGCUGUAAACGAUGUCGAUUUGGAGGUUGUGCCCUUGAGGCGUGGCUUCCGGAGCUAACGCGUUAAAUCGACCGCCUGGGGAGUACGGCCGCAAGGUUAAAACUCAAAUGAAUUGACGGGGGCCCGCACAAGCGGUGGAGCAUGUGGUUUAAUUCGAUGCAACGCGAAGAACCUUACCUACUCUUGACAUCCAGAGAAUUCGCUAGAGAUAGCUUAGUGCCUUCGGGAACUCUGAGACAGGUGCUGCAUGGCUGUCGUCAGCUCGUGUUGUGAAAUGUUGGGUUAAGUCCCGCAACGAGCGCAACCCUUAUCCUUUGUUGCCAGCGAUUCGGUCGGGAACUCAAAGGAGACUGCCGGUGAUAAACCGGAGGAAGGUGGGGAUGACGUCAAGUCAUCAUGGCCCUUACGAGUAGGGCUACACACGUGCUACAAUGGCGUAUACAAAGAGAAGCGAACUCGCGAGAGCAAGCGGACCUCAUAAAGUACGUCGUAGUCCGGAUUGGAGUCUGCAACUCGACUCCAUGAAGUCGGAAUCGCUAGUAAUCGUAGAUCAGAAUGCUACGGUGAAUACGUUCCCGGGCCUUGUACACACCGCCCGUCACACCAUGGGAGUGGGUUGCAAAAGAAGUAGGUAGCUUAACCUUCGGGAGGGCGCUUACCACUUUGUGAUUCAUGACUGGGGUGAAGUCGUAACAAGGUAACCGUAGGGGAACCUGCGGUUGGAUCACCUCCUUACCU